GGAAGUUAAGAAACUGUUUCUUAACUUUUAACUAAAAAAACUAAGAAUCGGUUCUUAAAAUCCUUAUUUAAGAACCGGUUCUUAGCUUUUUUAGUUAAAAGUUAAGAAAUAGUUUCUUAACUUCC
rnacentral:pre_miRNA from 1 species